AUUGAACGCUGGCGGCAGGCCUAACACAUGCAAGUCGAGCGGAUGAAGGGAGCUUGCUCCUGGAUUCAGCGGCGGACGGGUGAGUAAUGCCUAGGAAUCUGCCUGGUAGUGGGGGAUAACGUCCGGAAACGGGCGCUAAUACCGCAUACGUCCUGAGGGAGAAAGUGGGGGAGCUUCGGACCUCACGCUAUCAGAUGAGCCUAGGUCGGAUUAGCUAGUUGGUGGGGUAAAGGCCUACCAAGGCGACGAUCCGUAACUGGUCUGAGGGGAUGAUCAGUCACACUGGAACUGAGACACGGUCCAGACUCCUACGGGAGGCAGCAGUGGGGAAUAUUGGAAAAUGGGCGAAAGCCUGAUCCAGCCACGCCGCGUGUGUGAAGAAGGUCUUCGGAUUGUAAAGCACUUUAAGUUGGGAGGAAGGGCAGUAAGUUAAUACCUUGCUGUUUUGACGUUACCAACAGAAUAAGCACCGGCUAACUUCGU
rnacentral:rRNA from 1 species